UACGAAGGGGGGCUAGCGUUGCUCGGAAUCACUGGGCGUAAAGCGCACGUAGGCGGACUCUUAAGUCAGGGGUGAAAUCCUGGAGCUCAACUCCAGAACUGCCUUUGAUACUGGGAGUCUUGAGUCCGGAAGAGGUAAGUGGAACUGCGAGUGUAGAGGUGAAAUUCGUAGAUAUUCGCAAGAACACCCGUGGCGAAGGCGGCUCUCUGGGACGGUACUGACGCUGAGACGCGAAAGCGUGGGGAGCGAACAGG
rnacentral:rRNA from 1 species